GAGGCUUUGAAGACGUGACGCCAGUUGCGUUGGAGCCGUCCUUGAAAUACCACCCUUGUAUGUUUGAUGUUCUAACGUUGGCCCCUAAUCGGGGUUGCGGACAGUGCCUGGUGGGUAGUUUGACUGGGGCGGUCUCCUCCCAAAGAGUAACGGAGGAGCACGAAGGUGGGCUAAUCACGGUUGGACAUCGUGAGGUUAGUGCAAUGGCAUAAGCCCGCUUAACUGCGAGAAUGACGGUUCGAGCAGGUGCGAAAGCAGGUCAUAGUGAUCCGGUGGUUCUGAAUGGAAGGGCCAUCGCUCAACGGAUAAAAGGUACUCCGGGGAUAACAGGCUGAUACCGCCCAAGAGUUCAUAUCGACGGCGGUGUUUGGCACCUCGAUGUCGGCUCAUCACAUCCUGGGGCUGAAGUCGGUCCCAAGGGUAUGGCUGUUCGCCAUUUAAAGUGGUACGCGAGCUGGGUUUAGAACGUCGUGAGACAGUUCGGUCCCUAUCUGCCGUGGGCGUUGGAAGAUUGAAGGGGGCUGCUCCUAGUACGAGAGGACCGGAGUGGACGAACCUCUGGUGUUCGGGUUGUGUCGCCAGACGCAUUGCCCGGUAGCUAAGUUCGGAAUCGAUAACCGCUGAAAGCAUCUAAGCGGGAAGCGAGCCCUGAGAUGAGUCUUCCCUGAUACUUUAAGUAUCCUGAAGGGUUGUUCGAGACUAGAACGUUGAUAGGCAGGGUGUGUAAGCGCUGUGAGGCGUUGAGCUAACCUGUACUAAUUGCCCGUGAGGCUUAACCAU
rnacentral:rRNA from 1 species